AUGGUGUGUCUCUUGUUAUUUUUCUUUUGGGUUCCUAGAUCUCUAUCUGUACCUAGUUUUUGCAUUUUCCUACCUUCUAGCCUUUUUUAUUUAGGUUCUGUUUCUUCUUUUUGUUCCCUCACUUUACUUUACUUUUUUUUUAAUCUUUAUUUUCUUAGAAUUAUAUGUUUAUUGUUCAAAAGUUUGUAUUUUGAGGUAGAAUGA